rnacentral:rRNA from 1 species
GAUGAACGCUGGCGGCGUGCCUAAUACAUGCAAGUCGAGCGAACGGACGAGAAGCUUGCUUUUCUGAUGUUAGCGGCGGACGGGUGAGUAACACGUGGAUAACCUACCUAUAAGACUGGGAUAACUUCGGGAAACCGGAGCUAAUACCGGAUAAUAUUUUGAACCGCAUGGUUCAAAAGUGAAAGACGGUCUUGCUGUCACUUAUAGAUGGAUCCGCGCUGCAUUAGCUAGUUGGUAAGGUAACGGCUUACCAAGGCAACGAUGCAUAGCCGACCUGAGAGGGUGAUCGGCCACACUGGAACUGAGACACGGUCCAGACUCCUACGGGAGGCAGCAGUAGGGAAUCUUCCGCAAUGGGCGAAAGCCUGACGGAGCAACGCCGCGUGAGUGAUGAAGGUCUUCGGAUCGUAAAACUCUGUUAUUAGGGAAGAACAUAUGUGUAAGUAACUGUGCACAUCUUGACGGUACCUAAUCAGAAAGCCACGGCUAACUACGUGCCAGCAGCCGCGGUAAUACGUAGGUGGCAAGCGUUAUCCGGAAUUAUUGGGCGUAAAGCGCGCGUAGGCGGUUUUUUAAGUCUGAUGUGAAAGCCCACGGCUCAACCGUGGAGGGUCAUUGGAAACUGGAAAACUUGAGUGCAGAAGAGGAAAGUGGAAUUCCAUGUGUAGCGGUGAAAUGCGCAGAGAUGUGGAGGAACACCAGUGGCGAAGGCGACUUUCUGGUCUGUAACUGACGUUGAUGUGCGAAAGCGUGGGGAUCAAACAGGAUUAGAUACCCUGGUAGUCCACGCCGUAAACGAUGAGUGCUAAGUGUUAGGGGGUUUCCGCCCCUUAGUGCUGCAGCUAACGCAUUAAGCACUCCGCCUGGGGAGUACGACCGCAAGGUUGAAACUCAAAGGAAUUGACGGGGGCCCGCACAAGCGGUGGAGCAUGUGGUUUAAUUCGAAGCAACGCGAAGAACCUUACCAAAUCUUGACAUCCUUUGACAACUCUAGAGAUAGAGCCUUCCCCUUCGGGGGACAAAGUGACAGGUGGUGCAUGGUUGUCGUCAGCUCGUGUCGUGAGAUGUUGGGUUAAGUCCCGCAACGAGCGCAACCCUUAAGCUUAGUUGCCAUCAUUAAGUUGGGCACUCUAAGUUGACUGCCGGUGACAAACCGGAGGAAGGUGGGGAUGGCGUCAAAUCAUCAUGCCCCUUAUGAUUUGGGCUACACACGUGCUACAAUGGACAAUACAAAGGGCAGCGAAACCGCGAGGUCAAGCAAAUCCCAUAAAGUUGUUCUCAGUUCGGAUUGUAGUCUGCAACUCGACUACAUGAAGCUGGAAUCGCUAGUAAUCGUAGAUCAGCAUGCUGCGGUGAAUACGUUCCCGGGUCU